rnacentral:tRNA from 1 species
UCCUGUGUGGCACAGUCGGUAGAGCAUGGCGCUUGCAACGCCAGGGUUGUGGGUUCGCUUCCCAGUACGGAAA